CCUCUGUCAAGUUUGUGUAAAUGAGUCACACUGCACACCACAGGCUGGAUGGUGCACACAGAAUCAUACCUUUGUGGAGUCCAACUUUAUGGACUGCAGUUUGCCACGUGCUAUGGGUGUGGUGUCAAGGAUGUCAGCGGCUUCACUGAAGAUGGCUGAGGAAGAAGAGGCAUCUUCUGUUUUAUUUGGAGCCAUGAACUAAAGGAUGAGUAGCGCAGUCAGACCAGACGGAGCCCCGAGACCAAUGGAGAUCUCAGAGGCACUACAAAUCUGAUGUGCGGACGUAAAAAACAACAGACUUUGUUUAUUUGCAGCAUUUAAUCUUCAAGUGGCCCCUGGGAUGGAUUCCUACCACUGCCGGUUCUAGUGGUGGACAAGGGGGGGGGGGCACCAAUCCAUCUUUGAAGCCCCCUCAACAGUCAUUUUUUUUAUUGUGAAACCACAACAAUCCCACAUCCUGUUGACAAAUAGCUUGUGACCUCUUGAAAAGCAAAUUAAUUAUUUUAAAUUAAUAAGCUCUUAAUUAAAGCAACCAUUUCCUUCCUUGUUACAUUGGUGCAAGAUAUAAAAAUGUGAGAUUUACUUCAGACAAGGACAAAUGUAAGUGAACAAAUUGGCUGCUAAUUGUACACUUGACCUAUACAAAAAUGGUCUAAAUAUAGACACACACAUAAAGUAUGACACAAUGUAAUAAAUAAAGUAUGUAUAUAAAUGUAUUAAUCAAAGACUAGGACCAAUACUGUGCCUUUGGAAGUAAAAUUAUUAUUAUUAUUAUUGUGUCGGAUCUGAAGAAUUUAAUAAAGUAACUGAGAAAAACUGAAAUAAAGAUGGGAAUAAAUUGGGUUGGUUGUACAUUUUUGCCAAUUGAACCGCUGUUUUGUGGAAUACGGCCUCCAAUUACUUUGAGUUUGACCCUAACCCUGAUUCAGUCGUAAUGAAUGGGGAUCUCGAGUUACCUCCUUGCAAACGCCACAGGA